GAUGAACGCUGGCGGCGUGCCUAAUACAUGCAAGUCGAGCGAACGGACGAGAAGCUUGCUUCUCUGAUGUUAGCGGCGGACGGGUGAGUAACACGUGGAUAACCUACCUAUAAGACUGGGAUAACUUCGGGAAACCGGAGCUAAUACCUGAUGAUAUUUUGAACCGCAUGGUUCAAAAGUGAAAGACGGUCUUGCUGUCACUUAUAUAUGGAUCCGCGCUGCAUUAGCUAGUUGGUAAGGUAACGGCAUACCAAGGCAACGAGGCAUAGCCGACCUGAGAGGGUGAGCGGCCACCCCGGAACUGAAACACGGUCCAGACUCCUACGGGAGGCAGCAGUAGGGAAUCUUCCGCAAUGGGCGAAAGCCUGACGGAGCCACGCCGCGUGAGUGAUGAAGGUCUUCGGAUCGUAAAACUAUGUUAUUAGGGAAGAACAUAUGUGUAAGUAACUGUGCACAUCUUGAAGGUACCUAAUCAGAAAGCCACGGCUAACUCCGUG
rnacentral:rRNA from 1 species